GACGAAGGGGGCUAGCGUUGUUCGGAAUUACUGGGCGUAAAGGGCGCGUAGGCGGCCUGCUAAGUCGAACGUGAAAUCCCUGGGCUCAACCCAGGAACUGCGUCCGAUACUGGUUGGCUUGAAUCCGGGAGAGGGAUGUGGAAUUCCAGGUGUAGCGGUGAAAUGCGUAGAUAUCUGGAGGAACACCGGUGGCGAAGGCGACAUCCUGGACCGGCAUUGACGCUGAGGCGCGAAAGCCAGGGGAGCAAACGGG
rnacentral:rRNA from 1 species